AGGACGAACGCUGGCGGCGUGCUUAACACAUGCAAGUCGAGCGGUAAGGCCUUUCGGGGUACACGAGCGGCGAACGGGUGAGUAACACGUGGGUGAUCUGCCCUGCACUCUGGGAUAAGCUUGGGAAACUGGGUCUAAUACCGGAUAUGACCACAGUGCGCAUGUGUUGUGGUAGAAAGUAUUUAGCGGUGACAGGACGUCGGGCCCGCGGCCUUA
rnacentral:rRNA from 1 species